AACAAACAGCAUUUGAAUAACAAGACAUGUUUUUUUGUUGAAGCUUAAAGCAACACAGAUUUUUUUCAAGAUUUCGAACUAAUGUGUAUUUAUAUUAUUAGACAGAUGCAUUUACGCUAUAUAUAGUAGUGACUAAAAGUGUGUUGUUAAAAUCCGUAAUAUAUUCAUAAGUUACAAGAGAGGUGUAUUGGAUGUUUUGUUUUUUAUUUAAAAGUGAAAGAACUGAGAUUAAAAUCCACAGUAGGUGACCUCCACGUUGUGAGAUUUGGAAACGGCUAGCUAUCCCGCUGUCUAACUCCAUACAAACCAAACUCAGAUACGAAUCUCGAGUAAGGGACCUCCACGUGGUGAGAUUUGGAAACGGCUUAACAUCACGCUGGCUAACUCCUUACACACCAAUAUGUUUCUCCUUAUCAACUUAUAUAUUGCCGUGUGUCUAUGUGAAUGUAUGGCCGCAACAGAAACAUCAAUAAAAUGGGAUGUAAAAACCAAAUCUGUCACCUACGGCGAAGAUACGACUCUCACCUGCAAUGCAAAUACAUGUUUACCUUACUCAAGUAAGCAGUGGUUUGGAGGUCCAAACUACGAUUUGUUGUGCUCAGACGAUUACACAGCAAAUCCAUAUAAAUAUGAAAUGGUGGUGGAAUCUACCAGUCCUAACUUUGAUCUCAUGAUAAAAAACUUCACAUUUAGUGACGCAGAUUGUAAAUAUACCUGCGUUUGUGGGUUGCUACACUUUACAAAAAUGCUGACAUUGAAUAGUUUAGAUUUCAUUUAUCCGCCAGUCUUAAAAGAAAAUUCUCAGGAGGCAAUAGCAAACAAAUUUCAGAUUGACCUGUUGAUGAAAGUAUAUCCUUUACCAAAUUGCAACAUUAUAUAUCAGGAAAUGAAUAUACCACUUAAAAUAACAAACUACACCACAAAGACGUACAAUCACACGGGCUGUUGUACAUUGUAUGACAUUAGGAUACAACAAAUAGUAGAUAUAAAUCACGUUAGCUGUAGUGGAAAUAUCAAUUUGACUUGUAAAGUUGCAGAUCGAAAUUACACCCUUACUGAAAAGAACAUUGAUUCAUGUACAAAAGUACCAUUUUCUAAUGUGAAUAACCCUUACUGGUCAACGCCUGUAAAAUUGAUUGGAAUAGUAGCUUUGAUAUUUCUAUUCGUAUUGGUGGUUAUAAUACUGUUGUGGAUAUACGUAAAAAGAAGACGCCGUCAUGACCAGACGGAGAUGAGUGUGUAUUAUAAUUAUAGACAGCCAAUGAUUUAUAGAUAACAAUAAGGAGAUAUGGUACCAUAGCCAAUGGGACAACCACUCACCACUUGUUCAAAUGAAGUGGAUUUAAGCAAUAAUUGGACAACUAUACGGCCUUCAACAAUGAGAAAGAACCAUACCGUAUAGUUGGCUAUAAAAGGCCCCGACAUGAAAAAUGGAAAAAAAACCAGAACAAAAUUUGUUUAAGAUUCUAAAAGAAAAUGAUAUAUUUGGCCUGGGUAAAAUACAAGAUAGAAAAAAGUAAUCAACGUCUGAAAAUUAACUUAUUUAGACGGUUUGGGUUUUUUAUGAUUGUUGAAGAUCCGUUCCACUUGGACUCUGUUGGAUAGUUUUCUCAAUUAAAAUCCUACCAUAUCUCCUUAUUGUCGUAGAGAGUAGGACAAUGCCGAUAUAGACGAUUUUUAUUCUUAUAUUCGUUAUUAUAGGUUACGAAAAACACAUGCACUUUCAUUUUGUCCGCAUACUAUAACAUUUACUCGGUUAUAAGAACAGACAAUUUAUAUGUUUGCACAUGUGUGUUAUCUUGUUUGUUUCUUUUUCAUUAAAAACAAGUAAAGAAGUUUGCAACUCUAAA